rnacentral:rRNA from 2 species
UUGAAAGGGAAACGAUUGAAGUCAGUCGUACCUGCGGGUAAUCAGCCUUUUGGGCAUGAUUCUGUGGAGCGUGAGGAGUUAAACGCCUUCAUGCCUGCAUAUUCGUGUACUUUGGGUGUACUUGCCUGUGUGGUUAGUUAACAUCAAUUUUGGUUAUCAUAAAAUGGUUGGAGGAAUGUAGCUUCGAUUUCGAUUGAAGUGUUAUAGCCUUCGGCAGAUGUGAUGAUCGGGAUUGAGGAUUGCAACGGAUACCCUUCGGGGCUACCUGUCUGGUCUCUGAUCGUUGCUCUGGUGCCGAAAGCGUGCUUACGGUUAUCAAAGUCGAUGGUCAAUAGGUUAGAACGGGUUAAAUUCGUUAAGGAUGUUGACGUA